CUACAUCCAUACAACCCACCUCCCCCAGGUUAAGAUAGAGAACAUUUCAGCACACCAGCAGACUCGCCCAUGGUCUCUCCCAGCAGAUAACCCCCAAGGACACCACAGUUGUAACCUCUGUCACCAUAGCCUGGUUUCACAUGUUCUUCAUCUUCAUCUUAUUGGAACCGUACGGUUAAAAAUACACACAUAGAUAAAGAGAUUUAUUUGAGGAAUUGGCUCAGGUAAUUACAAAGGCUGAGGAAGUCCCAGGAUCUGCAUCUGCAAGCUGGAGACUAGGAAGCUGGUGGUGUGAUUCCAGUAUGAGUCCAAAGACCUGAGAAGCAGCAGAACGGAUGGUGUAAAUCCCAGUCCAAGGUCAGGAGAAGGCUGAUGUUCCAGCUCAAGCAAACAGGUGGAAGCAAAAGGGGCAAAUUCCUCCUUCCUUUUUGUUCUGUUCAGGCCUUUAAUGGAUUGGGCGAUGCCCACCCUACCCGGGGACGGCCAUCUACUGAGACUGCUGAUUCAACUGCUAAUCUCAUCCGGGAACGCCCUCACUGACAUACCCAGAAAUAACGUUCAAUCUGAGCACCUGAUGGCCCAGUCAAACUGACACACAAAAUUACCCAUCACAACUCUGAAGUCCUAUUUUAGCAGAACAGUAUCCCUUUCUAACAGAGAGCUGAUCGUGCAAGACCGUUUUUUGAGCUGCUUCAGAGGGGCCAGAGACAGCACGAUCUUAACCUGUCACUGCCUGUGCCCUUACCUGAAGCGUCCUCAUGUUCCACUCCUCGCACGUGCUCGGAAUACCUCUUCCUGUUCCCUGUUCUGCCUAAUCUUCUUGACUCUGGCUUACCCAGGAGUCCCCAUACUAUUCAGACAAUAGCUGUAGGUGCAGGAAGCUUCAUAGCGCUGGUAACCUUCCAUAGCUCCCGCUUCCCCCGACUAGCGCAUGCCCUGUUCUAUCUUCCCGCGGGAAGCGGGGGGAGGGGCAAAGGGACUCAUUUCAUCCGUGAAGUCUUUUGUAGUUAAACCUUUGCUCAGGCAUGCUAGGAUGACAUCUGUAUCUAAUGGGAGUAAUUUAAUUUUUAAAAACAGCAAAGCAAAACAAAUAUAUUGGAUAUCUGCUAUGAGACUUGGGUGAUUUGGUGAUUCUUAUGGUUUCAUAAUUUAUUAGUAAUUAAUAAUCUGUAUAGAUACAUCUAUACAAGUCUAAUAAUUUUUUACUAAUUUAACUGAAAUAGUUUAUAAUUACAUAAAAAUAUAUCCCAUAUCUGCUUUUAAAAUAAUGAUUCAGCCUGAUGAAGUGACACUGAAAAUUUCAUUCUCUGAAGAAUUAGGGUGAGAUUCCUUUUUUUUUCUUUUUUUUUUAAUGAAUGAUCAGGAUUGAAAAUAAGAAAGGAGGAAUUCGCUUGAUGUAUUUAGCACUUCAAAUUUUCACUUUUCUAUUCAAUUUGAAAUUAGUAUUUUUCAAGAAAAAAAUAUAUCUUUUUUUUUUUGAGCAUUUUGGCUGAUGUCUGCCCUCUUUAAGUUUUCCAGGUCAGUGUAGUUACAUUUUAUUGUAGCAUCUUUGAUCUAUAUCGUCUCUUAAUUUGGCAAUAUGAACUUCCUUCAGAUUUGUAAAUAUCCCUAGAAGCACUUUGCUUUGAAAUCCCCAACUCCCUUUCCAGGAAGAGAAGAGACUUUGAGGUCAUCCAUAUAAGUUGUGCUGACAUGAAAAUUUUCAUGUGGUUACAACACCAUAUACUCUUUAAGGACAAGCUGACUUAGUCUCUGUCUGUAGGACACCAAUAAAGCAUUUCAAGCUACUUAAGCAUCUUAAUGCUGCAGACUGCCUCCACCUAUCUUGACGUUUUCAGAGCCUGCUUUUUUGAUAUUUUGAUGUUUUAGGUACAUUUGCUUGUGGGCAACUCAAGAGGUAGUAUAUACCUAAGAAUUCUCAUUUUUAAGCCUAAGAUUUUCACUCCUGGUUGAUUGUCAUCAGUUAGGGUUACCAGAUCUAGGAGCGGGUACAAAUAAUCAAACAGGAACACCCAGUUAAAUUUGAAUUUUGCAUAAGGAUGAACACAUUUUUAAAUAAAUUAUAAGUAUAUCCCGUCAAUAUUGAGGGACAUACCUAUACUGAGAAAUUAUUCAUUCUUUACGUGAAAUUCAAAUCUGACUGGGUGUCCUAUAUUUUAUUUGGCAACCCUAUUAUAAACAGGAAUUUCUGUUCAUACAGGUUCUCCACCCUUCAAACCUCAGAACUUCCCCCAGGGUUCAGAGUCUCGGGGGGAGGGGAGCAGGGCUAUAGGAUUGGCAUUUUCUGGAGCUUUAAAUACCCUUGUAGGCUUAGAAAAGGGUCCUAAGGCAUGAGAUAGCUCCUCAUGGGACUAGUUACCCAUCCGUUUAAAUCAAUAUCAACUUAACUAGCCCCUAGCAGGGCAACAGCAAUCUAUAUCAGUGAAUAUGUGGUUUCUGCACUGUUCACCUGGACUCUGUAGCCAGGCCACGUUGUACCUUAUGAUGUCCUAACAGUAUCUCUGGUUAAGGUUACCCAUCCUGCCACUCCUGUGCAGUGAAAUGUAAUUCUGCCUGUAAGAUGUUGGUAUGACAGGAAAACAAAUUAAUAUUUGAGGAUUCACACCCUCUCCCCUUUCUCCUUGGCAAGGAGAAUUCUGUCUUGGCCUACGCUGUGUCCCAGUCCCAGGAUUGUGCUGCACCAGGUUAACGGGAGAGGGAGGAAAUUAAAGGCAGCCAAGGCCACUUCCAGUGAUCUCAGAAAGUGGCAAAAUGAGAAAGGAACAGAUUCAGGAGAUGAGAUCGGUAGGACAGAAAAAGAAGAAUGCGGUACUUGUGUGGAAGGGGGCAUAUGAGAGAGAUAGGGAAGGGGGACAGGGGGUGUAGGAAGAAGGGGGUCUGGAGGCCAUGUUCCUGCUGGGCCCAGUGAGCUAUCAGAGAGGAGAAAGAAAGAGAAGACUUCCAAGAAGUUUUGCUCUGGGUUGUAAGAUUUGCCCCCCUUUUCGCAUUUUUUUUGAGACCAUGUGGUUAAUAUUUAUAUUUAUCUAAUCCCUUUUGCUAUCACUGUGAUGUUUCCUCAAAUACACCUGCGUACACCCUGGCUUCUGCUGUUUCAUACAAGGUGAGGAAAGAGGAAGAGCCAAGCAGGAAGGAUCCCUUACAUUCUGAUCAAAUGCUGGGCAGCAAAACGGUAAAACUAGUGUCUCAUUUAUUCCAUCUUUGUAACAUUUCCUGGGAAGAGCUAAAACAGUUAUUCUCAGCAGGAACAUUACAAAAUAAAUUGACAUCAUCUAUUCAUG